UACGAAGGGUGCAAACGUUGCUCGGAAUUAUUGGGCGUAAAGCGCACGUAGGCGGCUUUGCAAGUCCCAUGUGAAAGCCCACGGCUUAACCGUGGAAGUGCAUGGGAAACUGCAGAGCUUGAGUACUUAAGAGGAUCGCGGAAUUCCCGGUGUAGAGGUGAAAUUCGUAGAUAUCGGAAGGAACAUCAGUGGCGAAAGCGGCUUCCUGGACCAGCACCGACGUUCAGGCACGAAAGCGUGGGGAGCAAACAGG
rnacentral:rRNA from 1 species